UACGGGGGGGGCAAGCGUUGUUCGGAAUUACUGGGCGUAAAGGGCUCGUAGGCGGCCAACUAAGUCAGACGUGAAAUCCCCAGGCUCAACCUGGGAACUGCGUCUGAUACUGGAUGGCUUGAAUCCGGGAGAGGGAUGCAGAAUUCCAGGUGUAGCGGUGAAAUGCGUAGAUAUCUAGAGGAAUACCGGUGGCGAAGGCGGCAUCCUGGACCGGCAUUGACGCUGAGGAGCGAAAGCCAGGGGAGCAAACGGG
rnacentral:rRNA from 1 species